AUCCCCAGUACUGCUUGCUCUUGUAGGAGUCUGAAUUUCUGGCAGUAGUAAUGAAGCCGUGAUUGUGUCUGCUUGUUCAGAUAAGGCUGUCCCUCAUCCUUUCAGUCCUGUUUGGGGAACUGAAGCUGCUGUGUGCAAAUUAUUGCUGCAUGUCUUUAUAUGGCUCAAAAUUUGAGAAAGGAUCAAUAUGCUUCAGGACUGAGGAAUAAACCCGCCCUGUGCAAGCUUCUCUGACAAACCCAGAACUCCACCUUCUUUCCAGGAAGUGCAUACAUUUUCAGUGACCAGCCGAUGUUCCAGUGGCCUUUGACAGACCAAAGAUCCUAAAAGCGCUACUUGAUCACAUCCUGAAUCCACCUGCUUUCCAAUGGUCACACAGCUGGAAUGAAUCUAGCAGGAGGCCACCAAAGCUGGUGGAAUUGUACCAAAAAUGGAUCUAUCCAUUUAAGUGACUCUAAGGCCAAGUCACUCAAAUUACCUUUUUAUGCACAUAGUUGACUAGGCUUUUUAAGCACCAGGUUCUCGCUGGGAGCAAGUCGCCUAAUACAUAUUGGCACCUGGGCCCUGUGAAACAACCCGUAUCACAGCAAAGUGUCUCCAAUAAUACCAAAAUUACAGAUUCAAGGGGGACAGUUUUAUCAGCUCCCCCAGCUUACAGCUACAUAAAAACUUUUUCCUUGCAGGGCAGCUGCCAGCUUUUCUGCGCCUGCCCAAGAGAGGGACGUGCGGGAGCGCAGCACGCCGAGCGCGCGAGAAGAGCGUGGGCCCUGCUCUGCUGCACGGCUGCGGAGCCAGCGCGCGCCAGCUCAACUCGGGCAACGUUUACAGGGGUGGGAAGAGGACAAAUCCCAGACAUAUGGUGUUCCCCCUUUUUCGUAUCCUCUAAUCGUUCCUCUCUGGCAGCCCGUGCAUGACCUCUAGCAAGUCCACAUCAGCUAAUCGGCUCUCACAGAGCACCCAGAGUGUCUCUGGCCCCAGCUGGUCCUCACCAAGCAGCGAAGGACGUUGCAGAGCAUGGGGCUUGUCGGAGAAACCCCCGGGCUCCCCCGGCUUCCUCAUGCAGAGAGGGUGCAAGCUGCAUGCGCAGCCACUUCAAAGGCGCCCAGUGUCCCCGGCGGACAGGCUCUCCCCGACGCUCCUUUCCGCACUGCGUAAGUGGACUGGGAUCAUCCGAGGUUUUUGCGCCUCUGUGUUACAGCUCUACAAACCCUGGUGUGCACAGCAACGAGGAAAGGCAAGGAACGCUGGGUGUUGGGAAUCGUCUUGGAGCCUGUUGCUGGAGUUGCAGAGAGUCAGAGCGUGGAGCAUGGAGAUGUUACAGGAAUACAACUGCCGGCCAGCAGGAGCACCCGGAGCGCAGGAGCCUGGCCAAAGAGCUGGGCUCCAACAGAGAAACGUGCGGGUGUGGCGCAGGGGAUGUGGGAAGUUACCGUUUAAUCUUUCUGGCUUUUGAUUUGGACUUUUGGUUCUUGUUUGGAUAACGGGAUUGCAAUUCCUCUCGGUGCACUUAUAAUAAGAACAUCUGAAACUCAGCUGCAGCCAGGCAACAGACUUUCAUUUCAUGUAAUCUGAUUUUAGCCUCAAUGAUUAGCUGUUCUGUUGUCGAUGGCAAAAUCUAAUUGUCAUUGUAGUUUCUCUUCUGGAGCCAAUACGUGCAAACAUCUUAUAAGCAAGAUUUUGUCUCACGCCUUCUCUUUGCAAGUAAUGCAUCCCAAGGCAUUAGCAAAAAGCAACGUUCAGAGCAGAGGUGAUUUCAGUUUUAAGUGUGAUGAAGCUGGUAGCGAUCACUGGUAGCAAUCUUUUUCUGUUGCAUAAAAUGGACACAAUGAGCUGCCUUUUAAUAUUCUGGGCGUUAAAUGAUGGCCUGAAAACCUGACAGAUUUUUGUAUUUUAGGAUUCCUCAUAUAAACCUACUUGUCAUGACAUAUUUUAAAUUAAGAACCAGAUUCUCUACAGUAUAGUUUUAUGUCUAUGUGCGACCUCUCUAGAAAUCAGUGUGAAACUGAGACUAGAUGGGUUGUUCUCCUCCUGGCAAAUUUUCACUGGAAAUUUCCUCCAGAGUCUCUUGUUUUUUGGGUUUUUUUUAAAAAGAGAAAAUAGUUUUCAGCAGAUUUUUCCUCCCUUGCAAAUCAAUUAAAUCUAAAAGCCUUUUAAAAAUUGACAGUUGGCUGAAAUACAAAACCUCAGACUAGAAGGAAAAGGAGACUGCAGAGGUAGUAUCAAGAGAAGUUUCUUCUAAUUCCACUUUCCUUUUAGUUGGACUUCUGCCCCAAGUGAAGCUUUAGCUUUAAAACUGUAGCUCAGCCUGCAGGCUCAUUGGUGCUCCCGGGAGAAACAAUGCCAUUCUUUUCCCUGGCUGAAAACACAAAUAAAAUGCCACCGUUAGCAAUGCA
rnacentral:lncRNA from 1 species